GACGAACGCUGGCGGCGUGCUUAACACAUGCAAGUCGAACGGAAAGGCCCUGCUUUUGUGGGGUGCUCGAGUGGCGAACGGGUGAGUAACACGUGAGUAACCUGCCCUUGACUUUGGGAUAACUUCAGGAAACUGGGGCUAAUACCGGAUAGGAGCUCCUGCUGCAUGGUGGGGGUUGGAAAGUUUCGGCGGUUGGGGAUGGACUCGCGGCUUAUCAGCUUGUUGGUGGGGUAGUGGCUUACCAAGGCUUUGACGGGUAGCCGGCCUGAGAGGGUGACAGGCCACAUUGGGACUGAGAUACGGCCCAGCCUACUACGGGAGGCAGCAGUGGGGAAUAGUGCACAAUGGGCGGAAGCCUGAUGCAGCACCGCCGCGUGCGGGAUGACGGCCUUCGGGUUGUAAACCGCUUUCGCCUGUGACGAAGCGUGAGUGACGGUAAUGGGUAAAGAAGCACCGGCUAACUACGUG
rnacentral:rRNA from 1 species